UGGGGGUCACUGUCACACCCUGAGUGACACUGGGGACACUGGGGACAGCGUGGGGGGCAUCUGGAACCUUCGAGGGGUGCUCAGUAAUGCAUGGCACAGGGUGGGGGUCACUGUCACACCCUGAGGGUCACUGUCACACCCUGAGUGACACUGGGGACACUGGGGACAGGGACACUGGGGGGCAUCUGGAACCUUCGAGGGGUGCUGAGCAACGCCUGGCACAGGGUGGGGGUCACUGUCACACCCUGAGGGUCACUGUCACCCCCUGAGUGUCAC